rnacentral:rRNA from 1 species
UACGGAGGGUGCAAGCGUUAUCCGGAUUUACUGGGUUUAAAGGGUGCGUAGGUGGGUCUGUAAGUCAGUGGUGAAAUCUCCGAGCUUAACUCGGAAACUGCCAUUGAUACUAUAGGUCUUGAAUUAUCUGGAGGUAAGCGGAAUAUGUCAUGUAGCGGUGAAAUGCUUAGAUAUGACAUAGAACACCAAUUGCGAAGGCAGCUUACUACGGAUCGAUUUGACACUGAGGCACGAAAAGCGUGGGGGAUCAAACAGG